rnacentral:tRNA from 1 species
GGGAAUGUAGCUCAAGUCAAGUUCUUUUCUUUUGAAAAGUGAGUUGGGUUCAAAUCCUAGCAUUCUCU